rnacentral:rRNA from 1 species
AUCAUGCCCCUUAUGUUCUGGGCUACACACGUGCUACAAUGGCCGGUACAGACGGACGCAAAGCCGCGAGGUGGAGCAAAUCCUAAAAAGCCGGUCUCAGUUCGGAUUGCAGGCUGCAAUUCGCCUGCAUGAAGUCGGAAUCGCUAGUAAUCGCAGGUCAGCAUACUCGCGGUCCGAAUACGUUCCGGGCCUU